UAGGACUGAACAUUUGAGUUACCAAAGAACUUGAUAGUCGAAGGAUUUGGGAAAAUCCGCCAUAGAUGGUGAUAGCCCAGUAGAUUAAAUCAAAUUCUCUCAGUUCAGGAUCCUGAGUACGGCGGAACACGUGAAAUUCCGUCGGAAUCCGGGAGGGCCAUCUCCCAAGGCUAAAUACUACCUAGUGACCGAUAGUGAACCAGUACCGUGAGGGAAAGGUGAAAAGCACCCCGGGAGGGGAGUGAAAUAGUUCCUGAAACCAUGUGCCUACAAUAAGUCAGAGCGCGUUAAUGCGUGAUGGCGUGCCUUUUGU
rnacentral:rRNA from 1 species